UGAAGCUAGAAAGCUGAAAGGCAAAAACCAAAAAACUCAUUGAAAGGGGGAGCAAGAAAUCGGAACAGGUAAAUAUAAGCCAGAAAAGAUUCUUCAGUUAAGCAACAGGUUUAGUAUUUCAUCUAUUAAAAUUAAAGAGAUUCACUUACUAAAAAUAAAUUUUCAUAACUAAUCCUGUCAAACCCUAUCCAGAAUACAACUACAGAAGCAUCUGCAAAUCUCAUGCAACCUAACGUUAGAGCAAUACAAGGAUCAAUCAAAUCCCAUAAAGUCAUGAAGCUAAGACCAAUUCAGUUUAACCCAUUCCUAGUUCCUACACUCAUCGCGACCAUUCAAACAACAAAAACUUGAGAUAAGGUAAAGGUCAUCAUAUUCAUAUCUGAAAAGACAUGAACUCUCAAAGGAGUAAAAGAAAAAGAUAUCUCCAACAAACACUAACAUAAAUCAUCACAUCUAAAGUUUGCAAACUCUGCUUAGAAAGUUAUACACAAUCAACUGAAUUGAGGUCUUAAUGGAUUGACACCACACGGAAUUAUUGAACAAUGGAAAGAUCCUCCUAUAAAAGGAUAACUGCAUGAUGAGUGAUGACAAACUUCCUAGAUUAGCUAUAUGCAUUUCGGCAGAGGACCUAGUUAAUUUAAUGUUGUCCAGAAUUAAUUCAUUAAAUUCCUAGGAUAGUUCACCAUGUGCAUGCUUUCAUAAGGUGAAACUUGUUCAUUAAGUUUUGUUUACAGUUAAUGAAUAAUUUAGUAACAUAAUAUGCAAACAUCACACUAAUCAAUUAAUCAUGAAAGGAGUUCCAAAGAAGAAAUGUAGCAGCUUCAUCUAACGUGUGAAACAUAUCAGCAAAUCGAUACAGGGUACAGAUCAACUUAUGGAAACCAUUUUAUCCACAAGCAAGGUUGAGUAGUUACAUGAUGUAAUGUAAGUCUUAUUAAAAAAAUAAGCAUAAGCACAUUGUAAAUCUGUAUACAAAUUUGCAAACGAUACAAAUAACAGCCAAUUUGGACAACAUGUGAACUACAUUAGAAUAAUAAAUACUUAUAUAACAAAAAUGUAAGUGAGACAAAUCAUCCUACAAAUAUGGAAACAAAGAACAUGGAAUGCACAUAAACAAACGAUAUAAAUAGAGCUAGGUUGCAAAUUAAGAGAGUAACACUUGCCGUGAGAAUUAAAGACAGAUAAAUCAUCAUAGAAACAUGGAAAGAAGAACUAGGUUUAUUUUCCUGUUAUGUUAACAAGCAGUAAAAAUUCUUUAAACACAUACCUGAACUUUGAGG
rnacentral:misc_RNA from 1 species